UUUAUAUAACAGUUGGUUCGUAAUGUUGAUCACAUCAUCAAUGAAGGAGAGAGGAGUGAAUUCUAGUAACUCCACUAACAUUUUUUAAUUAAUUCCUUUACAUUGAAAACACUGAUUAGCUUCCAAAGAGGAAACUAGUGAGUUAUGAUUUUUAAACGGCAAGUUGUUCUGCAAUGUACCAACCCCAUGUUGCAUUUUGUCUGGUGUACUCAGAUAUGAUAAUAACGAGGUAAAAGGGAUUUCCGUAUAUCCCAUCAAAAAGUAUGAAUAAUACAUAGAUUUGUUGCUGUUUUUAUUGCUGUGAGGAACAUAUAACUCAGGCGAUUAACAGUUUAGUCGGUUUAUUUUGUUAGUUGCUUAGAAGUGUGGCUUUUGAUUUGUGCUUGGUAAAUCAUUACU